rnacentral:rRNA from 1 species
UACGGAGGGUGCGAGCGUUGUCCGGAAUCACUGGGCGUAAAGGGCGCGUAGGCGGCCCGCGCAAGCGUGCGGUGAAAGCCCGGGGCUCAACCCCGGGUCGGCCGUGCGGACUGCGGGGCUCGAGCACUGUAGGGGCAGAUGGAAUUCUGGGUGUAGCGGUGGAAUGCGUAGAGAUCCGGAAGAACACCGGUGGCGAAGGCGGUCUGCUGGGCAGUAGCUGACGCUGAGGCGCGACAGCGUGGGGAGCAAACAGG